rnacentral:lncRNA from 1 species
CCUGUUCGUGUUCAGGUGCCUUAAUAACAUCCUUUCAUCUUUCUGUCGUUGUGCAGUUUCCGAAUCCUAUCUGCUCUUUCCCCUUUCUGGCUUUUCUCCAUUCUUCGUGUUCUUUGCUGUCUUUGCUUUCCUGUCAUCAUUAUCUGGACAUGUCCUUUCUUUCCUUUUCCAUGACUAUCUUUUAAAAUUCUGACACCGUUAGCUUAGAGUCUAGCAUAGCUCUGCCCCGUGCUAAGGCCUCAGGCUCCGGGUAUAUAUCAACGCUAACUUUUCUUCAUUCUCAAAUCCUCUGCUGGAACAAGAGGUUCUUCCUUUCCGUUUCUCUGUCUGCUUCUUUCCUCCA